CCUACGGGGUGCUGUAGUGAGGAAUAUUGGUCAAUGGUCGGGAGACUGAACCAGCCAAGCCGCGUGAGGGAGGAAGGUACAGAGUAUCGUAAACCUCUUUUGUCAGGGAACAAAGGCGGGGACGUGUCCCCGGCUGAGUGUACCUGAAGAAAAAGCAUCGGCUAACUCCGUGCCAGCAGCCGCGGUAAUACGGAGGAUGCGAGCGUUAUCCGGAUUUAUUGGGUUUAAAGGGUGCGCAGGCGGUCUGUUAAGUCAGCGGUCAAAGCCCGGGGCUCAACCCCGGCCCGCCGUUGAAACUGGCAGUCUCGAGUUGGAGAGAAGUAUGCGGAAUGCGCGGUGUAGCGGUGAAAUGCAUAGAUAUCGCGCAGAACUCCGAUUGCGAAGGCAGCAUGCCGGCUCCACACUGACGCUGAGGCACGAAAGCGUGGGUAUCGAACAGGAUUAGAUACCCCUGUAGUC
rnacentral:rRNA from 1 species